rnacentral:lncRNA from 1 species
AUGAGCGGAAGGCAGUCAUCAAUGACCUUGGACCUUGAAUCUGCUCCUCUGCUCCUCAAGGACAUCAUGGCACUGAAAACAAUGGAUACACUCAAGAAGAGAGCCAAGGAAAUGGCUAGGUAUGUGAAGGGUCAUCAAGGUAUAGCAGCAAUCUACCUCACCAAGCAAAGUGAGAUGAAUAAGAGCACCACAUUGAAGCUGCCCAGCAACACCCGUUGGGGUGGUGUUGUCAUGUUUGACAGUCUCCUGGAGGGGAAGGGGUCUCUCCAAGAAUUGGCGAUAUCACAGUCUGUAGAUAUAGACAGCCCCAUCAAGAGGAUCCUCCUGGAUGAUGCAUUUUUGGAGAGAGUGGUAUGCAGCCUGAAACUCCUGAAACAUACAGCAGUAGUCAUUGCAUGGAUUGAGGGAGACAAUGCCAUUCGGUCUGAUGUUCAGACUCUGCUUGCAGAUGUAAAAGAAGAAAUUCGUACUGCCCUGCCCACUUCACUGUUGCUCCAAGCAGAGGAAACUGCAAUUCUGAAAUACAUUAAAAAGCAUAAAGACUUCUACCUGAAGCCCAUACACACCGCAGCAUACAUGUUGGACACUGAGUAUGCUGGCAAGAGCAUCCUGUCUGGUGCAGAGAUCAACAAGGCCUAUGGUGUCAUCACUAUCGUGUCUCACCACCUUGGCCUGGAUGAGGGCAAUGUUUUUGGCAGUCUGGCGAAGUACACUUCCAAGCAAGGGCAUUGGGAAGGAGAUGCAAUAUACCAACAAAUCUCAUCAGCCACCUGGUGGAAAGGACUUUGUGGAGCUGAGGCUCUUUCCCCUGUUGCCUCAAUCAUCCUCCAAAUCCCACCAACAUCAGCCACCUCAGAGCCCAACUGGUCCUUGUUUGGGAACACACACACCAAAGCACACAACAAGCUGACCAAUACAAGGGUUGAAAAAUUGGUGGCCAUCUGGGCAAAUUUGAGGCAUUUCGAGCCAGACAAUGAGCCAUCCUCAACAAGAUUGGAAUGA